rnacentral:rRNA from 1 species
UACGUAGGGGGCAAGCGUUGUCCGGAUUUAUUGGGCGUAAAGAGCGUGUAGGCGGCUUUACAGGUCCGUUGUGAAAACUCGAGGCUCAACCUCGAGGCGCCGAUGGAAACCAUCUGGCUAGAGUCCGGAAGAGGAGAGUGGAAUUCCCGGUGUAGCGGUGAAAUGCGCAGAUAUCGGGAAGAACACCCGUGGCUAAGGCGGCUCUCUAGUACGGUACUGACGCUGAGACGCGAAAGCGUGGGGAGCGAACAGG